rnacentral:rRNA from 1 species
AGUGAACGCUGGCGGUAGGCCUAACACAUGCAAGUCGAACGAGUGGCGGACGGGUGAGUAAUACAUCGGAAUCUACUCUGUCGUGGGGGAUAACGUAUGGAAACUUUCGCUAAUACCGCAUACCCUUAAAUGUGCCCAGGUCGGAUUAGCUAGUGGGCGGGGUAAAGGCCCACCAAGGCGACGCUCCGUAGCUGGUCUGAGAGGAUGACCAGCCACACUGGAACUGAGACACGGUCCAGACUCCUACGGGAGGCAGCAGUGGGGAAGAUUGGACAAUGGGCGCAAGCCUGAUCCAGCCAUACCGCGUGGGUGAAGAAGGCCUUCGGGUUGUAAAGCACUUUUGUUGGGAAAGCGGUACCCAAAGAAUAAGCACCGGCUAACUUCGUGCCAGCCGCCGCGGUAAUAC